AACGCUGGCGGCGUGCCUAAUACAUGCAAGUCGAGCGAACAGACGAGGAGCUUGCUCCUCUGACGUUAGCGGCGGACGGGUGAGUAACACGUGGAUAACCUACCUAUAAGACUGGGAUAACUUCGGGAAACCGGAGCUAAUACCGGAUAAUAUAUUGAACCGCAUGGUUCAAUAGUGAAAGACGGUUUUGCUGUCACUUAUAGAUGGAUCCGCGCCGCAUUAGCUAGUUGGUAAGGUAACGGCUUACCAAGGCAACGAUGCGUAGCCGACCUGAGAGGGUGAUCGGCCACACUGGAACUGAGACACGGUCCAGACUCCUACGGGAGGCAGCAGUAGGGAAUCUUCCGCAAUGGGCGAAAGCCUGACGGAGCAACGCCGCGUGAGUGAUGAAGGUCUUCGGAUCGUAAAACUCUGUUAUUAGGGAAGAACAAAUGUGUAAGUAACUAUGCACGUCUUGACGGUACCUAAUCAGAAAGCCACGGCUAACUACGUGCCAGCAGCCGCGGUAAUACGUAGGUGGCAAGCGUUAUCCGGAAUUAUUGGGCGUAAAGCGCGCGUAGGCGGUUUUUUAAGUCUGAUGUGAAAGCCCACGGCUCAACCGUGGAGGGUCAUUGGAAACUGGAAAACUUGAGUGCAGAAGAGGAAAGUGGAAUUCCAUGUGUAGCGGUGAAAUGCGCAGAGAUAUGGAGGAACACCAGUGGCGAAGGCGACUUUCUGGUCUGUAACUGACGCUGAUGUGCGAAAGCGUGGGGAUCAAACAGGAUUAGAUACCCUGGUAGUCCACGCCGUAAACGAUGAGUGCUAAGUGUUAGGGGGUUUCCGCCCCUUAGUGCUGCAGCUAACGCAUUAAGCACUCCGCCUGGGGAGUACGACCGCAAGGUUGAAACUCAAAG
rnacentral:rRNA from 1 species